rnacentral:rRNA from 1 species
AGAGCGAACGCUGGCGGCAUGCUUAACACAUGCAAGUCGCACGGCUGGGGUAACUCAGCAGUGGCGGACGGGUGAGUAACGCGUAGGUAUCUAUCUCCGGGUGGGGGACAACUGUGGGAGACUACAGCUAAUACCGCAUGAAACCCGAGGGUCAAAGCAGCGAUGCGCCUGGAGAGGAGCCUGCGUACGAUUAGCUUGUUGGUGGGUAAUGGCCCACAAGGCGACGAUCGUUAGCUGGUCUGAGAGGAUGAUCAGCCACACUGGGACUGAGACACGGCCCAGACUCCUACGGAGGCAGCAGUGGGGAAUAUUGGACAAUGGGCGCAAGCCUGAUCCAGCAAUGCCGCGUGAGUGAAGAAGGUCUUCGGAUUGUAAAGCUCUUUCGACGGGGACGAUGAUGACGGUACCCGUAGAAGAAGCCCCGGCUAACUUCGUGCCAGCAGCCGC